CUGCUCCGGUCUAAUUUUUUUAUUCAAUUUGCCUAUCACUUACCUUACCAAUUUUUUUCCACAGAUAAGACACUUGGUCUUUGUGAAGCUAUGAAGUUUAGUGUUAUUCUUCGAUUUGCUCAGUUUAUAAAAAUGUCAGAUUGCCCGCAACAGCUCAAGGAUGAUUCUGCUUGGAUUCUCGUACUCAUUUUCUCUUUUCACCUCGCCGAUAUAUUUUGAUAUGGUUGAAUAUGGGCUGGUGGAAGUUCUUGUAAAGCUUCUGGACUUUCCAGAUGAAAGUCUUUGUGAGAAGGUGUGUUUUAUAAUUGGAAGAGCCCCCGCCGUCCCCCGUCCCCACAUGUUGUAUAAUUAUUAGCGGGCUGAAUGUAUUUUCUUUACAUCUAUAAGUUGUGCUGGUAGUGGGAGAAAUUAUUGCCGGUGAUUGUUAUUGUGUUCUUAACCAUGGCGCUUUGACUCCUUUGUUGAACGAGUUAAAGGAGGCGAACAAUAAUUUUUCAAUGCAGAGAAAAGCCACGAGGACUUUGUCACUGAUUUUUAAAAGCAAGCCGGAUCUUCUAUCUGAGCAGGUUACUUCAGCAGUCUGUUCUCUUUUAGAGCUUCUUCGUUGAUGAGGUGCUAACAAAUGUAUGUUGUGCCCUUGCUUACCAUAUUGAUGCUAUACAUGGUAUUAUCCAACACCACAAUAACGGGGAUAUUUAUGACCGGCUGGUUGGACUCCUCCGGCAAGACUCUCAUUCAGUAAUAAUCCCCGUCCUCAAAAUAGUUGUAAAUAUUGUUCGAAGAGAGAAGAGCUGGUCUAAUAAGUUCAAUCCUGCCGACCUUGGUUGCCUGGUGACGUUGCUUGAAAACCACAACGAAGAUGCAGAGGUGGUCUCCAGCAUUUGCAGUCCAAGACCAUGAUAAAAAUGGUUCUUUAGUACUGAGAAGUAGACAAGGGUUCUUUUAAAGAAAAACUAUUAUUUCCGAGUUUGUUACACUGGCUAGCUUAUGAUGCACUUACCCUAGCAUUACAAGGACUCGUUUGGAAUAUGUAAAAGUAUCCUCAUAUGAGGUUUCAACGUGGUGUCAGUGCCAUCUCUAAUAUUGUAGUU